rnacentral:rRNA from 1 species
AGGACGAACGCUGGCGGCGUGCUUAACACAUGCAAGUCGAGCGGAAAGGCCCUUCGGGGUACUCGAGCGGCGAACGGGUGAGUAACACGUGAGCAACCUGCCCUUAGCUUCGGGAUAGCUCCGGGAAACCGGAAUUAAUACCGAAUAUGACUUUGGCUGACAUCAGCAGAAGUGGAAAGUUUUUCGGCUAGGGAUGGACUCGCGGCCUAUCAGCUAGUUGGUGAGGUAACGGCUCACCAAGGCGACGACGGGUA